CAGCCCUAAACGAUGCGCGUUAGGUGUAUCGGUGACCACGAGUCACCGAGGUGCCGAAGGGAAACCGUGAAACGUGCCGCCUGGGAAGUACGGUCGCAAGGCUGAAACUUAGAGGAAUUGGCGGGGGAGCACCACAACGGGUGGAGCCUGCGGUUUAAUUGGACUCAACGCCGGGAAGCUCACCGGAUAAGACAGCGGAAUGAUUGCCGGGCUGAAGACCCUGCAUGACCAGCUGAGAGGAGGUGCAUGGCGUAGUCGUGU
rnacentral:rRNA from 1 species